CAGUACUGAUAAGUAAAGGAAGUUCAACCAGACAGUUUAAUCCUCCAAUUUCCUGUCUUCUAAUCAGCCACUGACUCCUCUGGCUUUAAAUUAGAAACAUUCAUGGCAAUAUUCAGGACAGGUGAAGGAAAAAAGAGUAGCAAACAACCGAGACAAAUACUUGUAAGCAAGAGGAGGCCACACAUAGAAAAUGAAUACAAUGUAAAGUAUAUAUAAUGAUGCACUGAAGUGUUUAAGCUAUACAGAGAAUUUAGCGACUCUGAUAGAGAAGGAAUAAUUUUAUUAAAAAUAUUUAUACAGCAGCUGAGCAGCAUAUGAACAUACAAGAGUUACUGUAUAAAACAAAGGAAAUCCAUGCUGCAAUGUUACACUGUUCACACUUUGUUAUUUUUAUAGGGGCAGGAGCAGGAUAAUUAUUGCUACAUGUAUGCCUUUUGAUAUACCAUAAAUCAUAAGUAAGAAGCAGAAAUCAGCAAAGCCACGGACGCUUCAAUAACAUGUGGGGAUUACCAUGAUAAAGUUGGACUGAAAGUGCGUAUAGAUACGCUCAGUGAUUUAAACAAAAGAUACUUUUCUGAGUAUUUUGGCAGUGCUAAUUAACUUUCCAUAUGAUGAAAUUGAAUAUUUAUUAGAUGCGCCAUCAUUGUUAUUUUCAUUUGCAAUGAUAUUUAUAGUGAGGAUUCUAUUAAUUCUUAAUUGAUGGAAACGCUAGCAACAUUUUGACAUUUUCAUAUUUUGUAAAAUUGCAUUAAUUACCUGAGUAAUUCCAGCUAUUCCUCUGAAUAAACAGAAGUGUGGAAGAAAAGUAGUCACCAAAAGCUUCAGUGAAAAAAUGCUAAGAACCUUUAAAGUAACUAAAUUACCAUUUUAAAUCUAGGCUGACUAUUUUUAAUAAAUUCUGGUUUCACUCAUGGCUUCAACAGAAAAUAAAGACAUUCACACUGAACUGUGGAUUGAGAGCGGGAUAGUAAAAUUAGAAAAUAAUUAUUUUGGAAAUGACUGGAAGAUCUGCUUUAACUGUCGCAUUCAAUAACAGCAGUUUGCUCAUACAUGGAGUCAUUUGAAAUGGCUUCUUAUUUAUUAAUGAGGCUUUUUUUUCCCUUCAGAUGUUUCACAAAGAGCGCAGUUUGGGGGUUUGAAACUGUUUGGACGGAGAUAACUCAAAUUAUGGGUCCAGGCUGGAAUUCAGUUGCUCAGGUGAGCAAACCUGGAGUCGCUCCACUCCUCCCAGUGCAGUCACUUCAGGCUGGUGGCAGCGAAAACCUUGAGCAGAAUUUGGCCCAAUUUGGGGUCUUUAGUUUUGUUUUGCCAUGGAGGAUUUUCCCUCCACUAUAUACCUUUGCUGCACAUCUAUUUCAAUAACCCCAUGCAAAGGAAUUUUGCAGACAAUCCCUCAUUAAACAUAUUAUGGUCACAUCAUACUGGCUUGCUAGAGCAAAUAAUUAAAAAAAAUAAUCAGCUUGAAAUAAAUGUUUAUAAAAGUAGCACAGCUGCACAUAUUUGUUACAAAUGCAAGACAGAGUACUGAAACUUUUCUAUGACUAACCCUUUAGUGUCUCUAUGACAGCAGCAAAUUUCAAUUGAAAGGGCCAAUGAAAACAAAAUAAUGAUCAUUUUUCCAACAAAUUCACCUCGUUUCUUCAGGCUCUUAUAUCGGUUAAAUUAUUUGCUAUUUUAUAUGUAUUUUCAAAAUAAAUAUAGCUCCUUCUUACACAAAUUUACAGCAUUUGGGGAGAAUUUUAUGCUAAAAUGUCACAUUACAAUAUUGACAGAAUAAUAACUGUUUCUGCAUUUACUUGAUUAAAGCAUAAAAAAGUAGAUUAGGUGUAAGAGUGCCUUAAAACAGUGGAGACAAAUGCAGUUAUUACGGAAAUAUACAAAUCCUACAGCUUCUACUGAAAUAGUUUGAAACAUUUACAACUGUCUGCAAGAAAGAUAAAUAACAUUUUUUCUUUUACUUUGACCUCUUGCUAUUUUGGCAAGUAAGAUAAAAUAUAUUAGCCAUUCCAUCAGAUGGCUGGGGAGAAAAACUAGCUGUGAUGAGGAAAAACGAAUUAAAGGAGCAUUAAUAAAGAUUAUCUAUGAAAGAAAAUAAGGUCAAAAUUAGAACUCUGCAUUUUAAAGCCACCUUUCAAAAUUGCAAGCUGCUUUGCCCAAUGCUAAAAUCCAUUCAUUUUACUAAUCAUGCAAUCAACCAAUCUCCAUUAUCUCCAGAGCUGGCUAUAAACAUGCUAUAGACUGGGGUGAAAGAGGGAGAGUGUGAGGUUGAGAGACAGAGAGAGGGAAAGAAAGAAAGGAAGAAAGAAAGAGAGAGAGAUUACUACACCCAGCCUUUUAUAAAGCCGUUUCUUUCAUUAUAACAGGUCUUUUCAUCCCAGUGACACAGAACCUUUAAAUUUGGGCAUAAUGCUCCAGUACAGUGCAGAGCUAUAGCUUCAAAUGGAUUUAGAACCUGCUCCAGAAAAAAACCCAACUCCCUCGCCUGACACACAAAUUGUUUACGAUUCAUUAAAAAGCAAAAUUGCAUAUCCCAGUGCUGGCAGCUGAGUCCAUAUGGGUGCAAGGGGUAUUCACUCAUCUCUUUGUAUGCUGGCAGUACCAAACCGAAGUUUAGCACAGUGCAGCUGAGAUUUUGUGCAGCCAGACGAUGCAUGAGAUGCUGAGUCCUCAGGAAAAGGGACCAAUGACUAAUAAAUCAGGUGUUUCUUCCUUAACCUACUGGGAUCAAUAAGAAGCAGGAGAAAAAAGUUCUUGUUUGCAUGAGAUAACACAGACAAACAGCACCAUGUAGUGGGAGAUUUCACCAGUGGUUCAAUGGCUGCUGUGGACCCAUGGAUGAAGGUUAUACUCAUGCUGAGCUUAGGACUGCAAAGAGCCUAGAAAUGAUCUUAUGGGUCACUGGAACAUUGCACUCAAGCAGUUAAAAUGUUGUUUUUAUUAACUUGUCAGUGUAUGUUUAUUCAAGCAGCAAUACCAACCUCAUAUAUAAUCUUAGAACAAGUAAAGCUAUAUUGUUGAGGCAGACAUUAAAUAUUUUGAAUAUAAAUAAUGCAUAGUAUACUCUCGCAAUGAUCCAAUCUGAAGCCCUGGCACUGAUCUGGAGAAUAAUAAAUCUGAUGGUAAAAAAAAAGGAGUUAAACAAAUUUAUGGGGAAUAUAACUACUGAUAUCCAUUAGACAGAUGAUCCAGCUGCAAUCUUGAGUCCUUAAACUACUGAUUGUUGAAAGCCAGUAUGACUUUACAAGGGAAGUAGCCCUGGAAUUCACUUCUGACUCUUUAGUAGGGAGGAUGUUAGGUUAGAUGAAUCAAACAUGCAGGAAGGCUCAUUUAUGUUCUUAUGAACAGUGAUAACCAGAAUUUCCUGAGCAGUCUUUUCUGCUAGGAAAAAAAAAAAAAAGUUAAAAUAAAAGACCAGAAAUAUUCCAUAAACCUUUGCAAUGAAAAUAAUUUUUCUAGAUGUUAACUUAAGUCCUAUCCAAUCCUCUUCAAAUGCUUCCUUUAUCAAAAUUAUUUGCCUGUCCUGAGAACAAGGGAACAAACAAUAUGUGACCUGUCCUUGCAUCCAGAAUAGCCACUGUUGGAAGAUAUCCAGUAUCUGGAAUGAUGAGCAUGGCACAAAAUUGAAGGUGGGAGCCAUAAACAUGUGACAUUCAAGGCAAGGGAAAAGCUGGAGAUAGGAAUUACAUCUUUGAGUAAGCAAUGGUCUCUCAAGGAAAAGCACUAUUGUGGAAAAUUUGUCACCUAAUUUCCCCUUCCACUGAAUGCUGGGAGUUUUAAUAAAAAAUAUUGCUGUUGUAAAAUAGAAAACAACCAACCAAACAAAAAACCGUAAAAAAUCAGACCAGUUUUGGUGAGUGAAAUGGCCUUGGCUCAAGAGCUGAAGUUCUUUAGCUGUUCUUGCAGCAGGCACAGUGGGGGAGCCAGGAGGCCACCAAGCUGCCUCCAGCACUUCUCAGAGGGCACAGAAUCAUGAGCUGGUUUCAUGCCUGUUUAAAUACUGGGUCUUUCUUUCUUUAACUGUCACCUAGAACUAAAAAAAUAUUUCAUGCUACCUUGGCUUGCUCUGAUUUCACUUUCCUGACUGUAAUCUUUCCGCAAUGAGAUUGUGAUUUCUCCCAGACAUCUCCUGGCUGAAGACUGAGUGGGCUGGGAAAUGUCCUUAAGCUAUCUCAAGCCACGGAACACUCAUUAUUGGCCACAUGAAGGCUUUUAAUGUCUGUGCAGGUGAAUGCAGAAUCAAAUUUCUAUCUAAUUAGCAUUUGUAUUCUUAGAUGCACAUGCGAUUCUAUUUAGAAAUUGUAUUUUGGGAAACUAUCAAUCUACCUCACACCUCUUCCUUGAUUUUUAUUGCUAUUAAUAUAAGUAAGAAAGAGGUGACAGGAAUGCAAAUAAAUAGACACAAGACUACAUUUAUCUUCCAAGAAUCUUAUUUCUCCUUAUUGAAUUUUAUCUUUGAAAAUGAAAUUAUGUACUUGCAACUUAACACCUGCAAACUACAAAAAUUUACUUCACUUCUUUGACAACCUGAGAAGGAACAUCUGGGAAAACCAAGCCAGAAUGUGAGCAGUUGGAAAUUUGAUUGCAAGAGAAUAUAAAUUCUUCCCUUAAAUAGAAUUUACAAAUGAAUACUAUUUUCUGAGGAUGUCCAUGUCCCUUAUCAAAGGUACUUUCUUUCUAAUUCUUAAAAAUGGAACUGUCUCUUAACUCAAAUUUCAGAUUAAGAUGUUCCAACAGAUAUUUCCUUUUUUCUUCUUGAUUAUGUUAAUUUGCCUUGUGUACAUCUUACCUGAGACUGAGCUUCCAGAUAAGACCAUGAUUUUAUUAUUUCAUGGCUGUUUGUGUAAUGGCAAAAUCAAAAUGGGGAUGUCAGAAUUUGGCUCUCCCCAUUUCCAAGAGUGUUGACUCUAAUUAUGUAAGGGUGACUUGGUCAUAACCUCAGGUUCAGCAGAUCAAGGCUCACUGUUCUUUGCAGCCGUUUGCUAGAGAGCCACAUGGACCAAGAACAGAAAUCUUCUUUCGAUUGUGAAGAUUUCUUGUUUACUGUUUUGACAAAUAUUUGACUUAUUUGGGAACCUCAUAUAAGAUAGCCAAUUACAUCAAUGGCUUUAGCAGAUGUCAUCUUAAAAUUUUUAUAUCCUGUGUAUGGUGUUCCUACAGUACAAGAGAACAUGAUUUAGAGGUAGCCAACAGCUACACUUUUUUAAGAAAGUCAGGUAAGCAGGGUAUGUAUUUUACCACUAAAUAACCUGAAUAACCUUCCUGAACACUCACCAGCCCAAGUGACCUGCUGAGCUCCAGUGAAGUUUCCAAGAUCGGUUCAGCCUGAAGGAGGGCCAAACCAUGUGAAUUCAUAGAAUUGCACAGAGCACACAGACAAGCCCAAUAGUGAUGAUUUCAAAGGCAGACAUCUAGCUGUUCCUUUCAUUCCUUUUAUUUUUAAAAAAGGAAUUAAUUCAGUGUUAUUUCAUCCCCUACAACUGUUGGAAAAUACCCAUGAGUUCGGCUAUCAAGUUAAAAAGAAACUUUAUGGGGACCACCCAGAAUCUGUCCUUGGUUAUCCGGGGAAACAGAGCUUUAAUGAAAGAUUUUCUUUUCCCCCUGUUUUUGUCCUAAACUUUAAAAGGGAAGGAGAGCCCUUUUAGGAUUUAGGCAGCUGCCCAGACAGUAGCUUGCUCUGUCAGUCAGCUUGGCCCACAUUCUCUGACUUCCCUUAUCUUAAUUCCAGACUCUCUAAUAGUAAUGUUGAGUACUCAAAACCCUAAGCCACUUUUGAUCUUUUUAUUAAAAAAAAACACAACAGGUUUGGGAGGUUGGCUUUUGAAGAUGCAUAAAUCUCCUGUUUGUGAUUUACUUGUUCUUGACCUUAAAAAGUGUAUUGGAAGGUACCAUUAACUGCAGGAACUUGUUUAUUUGACUUCUGAAACCCUGGUUCUUGCAUGGAUCAGCCUCAUUUCUGCUCGCUUCUCAGAAUGUUCUGAACAUAAAGCAAGAAAUGCUUUUACCUGCUUUUGGUGGUAAAAGGAGCAUCUCUGCUCUGACAGCACAGUCUUUAAAACAACAGCAGCGGCAGUGUUCUUUAUUUUGUUUCUGAAUACAGAUUAUUUUGCAAGCAUUCUGAUUAAGCCAGAAAAAGGGGAAUUAAAACAAAGUAGCCUAGAUUGAAGAGUGGAAUAUGACAAUCUAUUUAGGGGGAGUCUCCUUUGAUUUUUAUUUGAGAACAAGGCUAAGUUUCCUCUUAUUAGGCCAAAUUUUACUGUCAUUACACCUGGCAAGUUAAUCAAAGGCAGUGUGAUGGUAGAAUUGCAAUUGAAUUCCACAAGUGUGACAUGGCACAGUCAGAAAGAUUAGCUUGUAAAUCCUCUGUAAAGACUAUCUGCAGGACAGUUUACAAAACAGUUUUAACAGUGGCAAGACAGAGUGCAAUGGUUGAGCAACAACAGAAUCUUCAUAAUUUUUUCAGUUUGAACAGAAAUUCUGAAUUACAAAGGCACUUUAAGAUUCAUCAGACCUUUGGAGCUCAUUUCCUACAUUGUGACCCAGGACACUCGACAGGUUACAAGGAAGCCUUGCAGACAAUUCAUGGAGCAUGACCCAAAUGUGACAUGAGAGCUCAGCCUGAUCUUGGAAUCACAGCCUGGUCUUUGUCACCAGGACUGCCCUAGCUUUGCUCAUUUUUGAUUAGGACAUUUAGUCAGAAGUUGAUGAUAAAUAUUUUUCCUGUUCUUCCACUCCAUUCUUUCUCCCUGUAGUUAAUAGCAUUGUAGAAAUAGAAGCAGCAAAGAGUUCAUCCGACGCAAAUGCUUUACAAGCACCUCUAAAUUGUGAUCAUACCAAAUUUGCAUGCCUGCCAUCUGCACAGAAACCCUGUCUUUACUCCAGCAAAGCUGACUUGCUGAACUUACAGUCUCUAGAUCUUACAGCUCUGCCCUAUUGCAUGUGCAAACACAGACAGUGGGGACAGCAGCAGCUGUGUGUGUCCAUCCAAGGGCAGAAUGCACACUUAAGCUUUAAUAAUAAUACUUGUGGCAAUAUGUAACAUUUAAAUAAGCCUUUUCAUCUUCAAAGUCCUCUGCAGGCACACAAAUUUACCCAGCAUCUCUCUGGUGUGGCUAUUAUUAGCAUAAUUUUACAGAAGCAGUCAGGGGACAAAGAAAAACAAUGAGAUUUGCCCAGGGCAUCUAGUGGGAUCACAAGCAGAGAGAUUAUUGUAAAUUGGCAUUACCUGGGAACUUCAUUUAGAGAUCAUCAAAAAGAAUAACAUAGGGAUACGUGUUGAAAGAACUACACAGAGUGUGGUCACUGUGUGUGUGAUAUGCUCUUUUCUAAGAAUUAUGGAUAUAUCCCAGCCAUUAACCUAACAGGAGAAAAAGGGGGACAUUUUAAUCAGUGAAAGUCAUGCAGAAUUCUCUUGCUGGCAGUUCAGUGUUGCUCAGUGUAUUGUGAUGUAGAUUUGAUUGAUUUUUUGCAGAGAAGUGCAGCACACUGCAGGGAAUGUGAAAUAUCACCUCCACUGUACAUUGAUUUAAACCACACAGAGUUAAACUGCAACAAUCUAGUGACUUCUGAUCAAGCCACCCUUCUAUAAAUACAUGAUCAAUCUUUUUGUUUUUUAAGGUACUUCAUUUUCAUGGGAGCAAAUUUCUGUGCUAAAGCUGAAGUGCAAAGGAGCAUCAAAACUAUAUUACAGUAGCUCAAAUACUAAUGCACUGUGUCCUGAACUGUACCUCCCUCAGACACAUGACAUGGUUUUGAUCUAAGCUUUAGGGAAUAAUGUGGACAAAAAGCCUUUUCAAAAACAGAGAAUAAAAAUGGUCUUAUUUGAAAUUUGAGUAUAACAGCUGAAAAAAGCACCACCCUCAUCUUUAUUAGCCUGCUAUUCAAUCCACAUGAAGUGAAGACAUUGUAACGCUGCUAUUAUCACCCCACUGGAAGUGGAGUGGGAAUAAAUGGAAAGAAAUGCAUUACAGGCAGUCCAAGAGACCUGAUCCUGAAUUGCACUGAGCUUCUUAUUCCAAGCCAGGAGUCCUUUUAGCUCUCCUUGACCUCAGUGAGAAAUUUGGGCUCCCCAGAGCUUGUGCACAGUAUUCUUUAUUCUUACAACUCUAGGCUAGGUGCACUGAAAAAAUACAUUUCAAAGACACUAAAUAUGUUUACUCUUUUUUUGUUUGUUUUGUUCUUACAUCUAAAUGUAAUACCUCUGGCAACAUAAAGGUAUGGUAGCUGAACAUUAUGUAAAAUAUAGAAAUCACGUCUAUUUGUCCAGAAUUUGUAAGGUUAAGAAUAUUCUGCAGGAAAAAAGCACAUUAUCCUUAUGGAAGUGGAUUUGCAUUUGUAUUUUCCUAUUAAAACCUUUUAUUUUACAGAUUCUUCUAAGUUCUUUAUAUGAAUAUAGUAGGCACAAUAUACUCCAUCAGCAUGAUAAUGACUGGAAAAAUAUUGUUGUGGGGGGGGUUUUCAUAAGAAACAACAGCAAAUGCUAGAAGUCUUAUUAUCCAGGGUGCAGGUGAAUUUUUCUCUUUUCCUUUAUUUACAGGGGACAGCUACAGGCACACCACUCGCUCUCUAAUAUUCCUACAGAAACAGCAGCCAUCUGGGUGCUGGGGUGGGUGCACCGAGCCCUAGGGUGCCUUUAGCCAGUUCACUUGGAAUCUCGAGUCUGUCCUGUCCUAUCACCCAGCAGCAAUGGAACAUUUGUUCCCCGAAGGGCCGGCACGCUGCCAGCAGCAGGUGUUAGGCUGUCCUCUGGGAUGAAGGCAGCAGGCAUGAGCACUGAUGUGUGCCCAUGACAAGAUGUUGCAAAUCUGCUCUCAUAGUGACGGUGACAGCAUCUGGGACAGUGUUGUGAGUCACCAUUCUGUAACCAUUAAAAACCAGUUGCCAUUCCUUUCAUAAUAAUAAAUUAAAAUAUCAUUCCAAAGCGUGCUGGUCUCAGGAAGAAAAUUAAAGAAGGCAUGUAGGGAUAAACACAUGUGUGUGCACUGGCACACACAGCAUUACAGUGUGUGUUAUCCCACUGUGUUCAAGUGAUUGUGUCUUAAAUUUACAGGUACAGUUGAUGGAUAGGAUAGGGUUAUGGCCACUAUUCAGACUGCAUUUUUAGAUUUUCCUAAAGGAAAUGCAAUCAAGAGGAAAAUGUUUAAAAGUAAUUUAAAACUAUUCUUUACUAUCCUUUUAAGCUAAUGAUUUUAUAAUUAAUAGAUAAUUCUUACACAGUUGUAUCUAUUAAGCCCAGAUUUCUAAGUCACCUCAGUUUUAAAUUUUAUUUACAUAGGCUGAACUUGUGCUUCUUCUGCCUAAGUGCAAAGCUAAGCAGGGCAUGUGGCAUUUUAGGAGAAGAGGAUUUAUAUAAAUAUCUACAUGGAAACAAUAAUAGAUUAGCAGUAGCUGCCUCUUUCCAAAAUAUCUGUUUUGAAAAUGCUUUCAUAGAUCUGUAGGCAGGUGCACAGAUAUUGUUUCCGUGACUUCUUCCCACAGAGAUCAUAUUCUUCUACUUUGAUUUAAACUGGAUUUGAAUAUGGGUACAGUACAUUUUUAAAAUUCGCCAACAAGCCAUACAGCAAAUAGCCAAAUAAUGCUGUCCCUUGAUUUUUCUGGACUUCAGCCAGGCAUGUUUAUCUUCCAAGGGAUCUAAAGCCAAGACCCUCCAUCUUAUUGACCUUUCUUGAAUAUAUUGCAUGGGACUCAGUGACUGGGCCUCCCUUUGACCACCGGCCAUUUGUCAGCAAGGCCACUGCUUUCAUUUGGGCUGAACCCAACCCAGUUCAGAUCAAAGGCAGAACUGUUAGUGAUGUCAGCAGAGCCAGGAUUUCACCCUGGACCUCCACACUUACAAUGAUCAGCAUUAUUGUGAUGGAGGUUUAUAACAGCAUGAGGGGCUUCAGCAAGAGAGAGAACUCACAUUGAAACUGACACAGUUUAGCUCAAGUGGUUUUUAGCAUUUUAAUGUUUCCCCUCUAUUCAUGUUCAGUCUACACUUGGCUUAACAAUCUGGGUGGUUUUUCACUACUUUUAGUCCACCAAAUAAGGAAUUUUCCUUCUUGUUUCUCCUUUAGUCUUUCCUGGAAGCCCUCUAUUUUUAGGUUUGCCCAAUAACAUCCCAGGUACUGCUGAAGACCAAAUUCCUUGUCUAUCAAUCACCACAUUUCAGUGAGAAAUAAGUUAUUUCCACAAAGACAGAUGAGAAAUUUCUUUCAAAUGCUCCAUCUUGUGAAAAUAUAUUUUACUUUUCUCUUUUCUCUUUUAAUUUUGUGCUGUUAAAUAAAAAAUUUCAAAAUUUGUUGUAUAUUAUUUUUCAUCAUAAAUGGAAUGUCCAAUAUAGA